CGGGCAGAGUGUGAGACUCGCCGACAGCCCACACCCCCAGCAACCCACAGGUUGAUUCGCAGUCAGCGAUGCCGCCGGUGGUCUCGAGAUCCGACAGGAUAGUUCGCCGGACGGCGAUGGUCGGCGCUGCCACCGCCGCCUACUUGCUCCUCACCGCCGACUACGGCCCCAACUACCCCAACCCCAUAAGGAAGGGCAUGGAAUCGUUGGCGCUCUUCUCCAAACCAGACAGGAGCGUUCAGCAGGCUCAACAAGCUGAAACUAAUUCGAAGCAGCCAGAUGGUAGUUAAAUAAAGUAGUAGUAGUACUUAUGCUAGCCGGAUCAGUUUAUUUCCCCUUGUUCCCAUCAUGUCCAUGUAUCGUGAACAGUACUACGUUUCAAUAAUAACCUGUGCCUGCUACGUUCAUUA